UUUGGUAACAAUGUGUUUUUAAGAUGUAAAACCAUUUCAUGCAUCACAUUUUGUAGCAUGUGAAAUCUGUUAAAUGACAAACACAGUUAUAAAAUACAUAUCAAUGAUUCAAUAACAUGUUUGUUUCUACUUGUAUUCCCCCCCAUUAAAGCAUUUAAAAUCAUUUAAAACAUUGAUUAGGGGUAUGAACUCACCUGUAGUUGGUGAUUGGGAUGAACUGAACGGUAUAGGAUGGCUAGGUAUCAAGCGAGGACUUAUACACGCACUACGAUCCUAAUGAACAUAUAAUCACACAUAUAUGCACUCAAUUAGACUCAAAUCACUAAUUGAUAAUGUUAAGACAUCCUAUACAUAAUAAACACUUUAUAUAAGUGUUUUAAGCCCUAAUGAUCGCAUCAAAGCUAUUGUGGAACAAGGUACUUGUGUUUAGGGUUCCAAAGGACNNNNNNNNNNNNNNNNNNNNNNNNNNNNNNNNNNNNNNNNNNNNNNNNNNNNNNNNNNNNNNNNNNNNNNNNNNNNNNNNNNNNNNNNNNNNNNNNNNNNAAGUCGCGUACUUCUGGGAUUUUCUGGAUGUCUUUCAAUUCUUGACUGGUAUCGACGACGUCUACGAGGAAUGCAUGGUACUCCUUUCGCAAACACUUUUGUGCUUGAAUGCACGAAAUGAUGGUAAGACUCGUACUAGGUUUGUCGCCGUAGAUAACUAAGGUUUCGUUGUUAGGAAGGUUAAGACGAACUGGUUUUUCGAAGCACAAAAUGUCGGCACGAAGAAGACUCAACCAAUCCAUACCGAUGAUAACGUCGAAACAUUUAAUUGGGACUGGCAUGAGAUCUAUCUUGAAAGUAUGGCCAUCUAAAGUUAAGGUACAACCUACGUAUAUGCAGUUUGUACUCUCUGUUUUCCCGUUAGCCAUUUCUACCGUGAAUGAAUUAUCUAAUGCACAUGGUUUUUGUUUAAGCAGGUGUGCAAAUUUGUGACUUACAAAACUUUUCUCGGCUCCACUAUCGAAAAGUAUGCAAGCAUAUGAGUUAUCGAGGAGGAACGUACCAGUAACUAUCGUAGGAUCAGCUACUGCUUCCUCGUGGCCUAGGACCAUAACUCUUCCCACUCCUCCAGCUAUCCCCGCUUUAGGGUAGUUCCUCUUGUAGUGACCCACCUCGCCACAACCGUAGCAAGUUUGGCCCAUACCGGCAUUAGGGACCUGGGCGGCUUGAGCUGUUGGAGCCUUGCAGUAACGGGCUGUAUGCCCCUACCUGUUGCAGUUAGUGCAUUGCAUCUCCUUGCAAGGUACGUGGUGGUGGUAGUUGCACUUGGUGCACUUCGAAAGAGUUCCAGCAUAAGUUUUUGCUGGUAAGGGGUUCGCAGGGGCAACAGGAGUCACUGUAGCAGCAUUGAUCGCCACAAGUUGUUGCUUAUUGGAGGAUCCUUGCGGAGGCCCUCUUUUCCUCUUAUUCCACCCCUUCUUGUUGUAGUCGGGGCUGGACAUUUAUGGUACAGGUGUAGGGAUUGUUGUGUUCUGAGGUUUCCGGUGAUCGAUGAGAGAUUGUGCCAGUUCCUUGGCGCUAUCGAAGGUAAUAGGCCUGGAAGCGAUCACACUUGACUGGAUCUGGGGCGACAGUCCCCAGAUAUAUCUCUCUAUCUUUUUGCUCUGGAGAGCAACCAUGUCAGGGCAUAAGUUUGCCAGAUCACAGAACCUAUUUGUGUAGGUCGUGAUGUCGGAUCCAACCAUUUGUAGACCCCAGAAUUCUUGCUCGAGUUUUUGUAUUUCACCUCGAGGACAGUACUCUUUCAUCAGCAUGUCCUUCAACUUUUCCCAGCUGAUGGAAUACGCCACCACCAAAGUUAGAUAGUUAACAUGGCUGUUCCACCAUGUUAGUGCUCUGUCAGAGAAGGUACAAGCUGCAAACUUGACCUUGUUGCCCUCCUGGCAAGCACAGAUUUCAAAGACAGAUUCCAUCUUUUCAAUCCAUUGUCUCAACACCAUAACACCCCCAGUUCCAUUGAAGCUGCGGGGUUUGGCGUUAGUGAAGUCCUUGUAGGUGCAUUCCCGAGGGUGUCCAUGGCUUUCGCCGUGGUUCGAGGGUGGUGCACCUGUUCCUGAUCCACUAGGGGCAGGAGCGUUGAUUGCCGACACAUCAGCUGCAACUGCUGCUGUGAAAGCUGCCUGGAACAUGUUGGCAUCGAAAGGAUUUGGUGGUUAAAGAGGUUCAGGUGGUGGUGGAGGUGCUUCGUUGUUUGGGUUUCUCCUUGGAUUCGUACGUGGCGGCAUCUUUAACUAUACGUUUAAAAGAUGAUGAAAUGGAUAAGAAUAAAUGAUUAAUGAAUGUGUCCCAUGGACUAAAUCCCCAUAGCCCAACAACAGAAGGAAUAGUAUGACUAAAUGAAGAAGAUAGCAUUUGGAUAAUAAUUUCCAUAAGAUUAGAUAUCUGUCAAUAAUACUGGAAUUACAGAUGUAACAAGUUCGGGAAAAAUGGCCUAGAAGUAGGCCUUACAUCAACCAAGAUGGAAAAUUUUGACAGAAUUAAGACUAGAUCAAGACCUAACAGGUCUAAGAUUUAUAAAGAUAGGAAAUUAGACCAAAGUUUUACAUAAACUAGGUUAUAUCCAAAAGAUGAGUCGACGAGAUUCUAUCGGCGACGAGAACUGCUAGCAUGAGUCCUCGAUCCCGACAGUAGAUGUUCAAUGUCCCUUAUACGCCUGUCCGACCUUGCUUGCUGAGCUCGAAGUUCUCUAACUUCAGCUUGGGUUUCAGCAAGUUCCCUCUGCAGAUUUGCAUUGCGGACCAGAGUCCUUUCAUGAGCAGACUCUAGUUGGCGAAUGUGGACAGUGUUAACACCAGAGUUGGCGUCAACUUCCAAGACUUGAUUGAUAGUCGCCUGAGCCAUUAUCGUGUUCCGAGAAAUCCUACGCACCAUGAUUGGUAGGACUCUAUCAGCAGAACCUCCUUCAGUGAGGUUGUAGAAACUUCGGUCUCCAUUGUAGGGAAUGGGCUGACCCUGUUCAUGACUCCAUGUAAUCAAGUUAGUGGCCCACAGAGGUGUGGGUCCUUGAAACACAGGGCGGGGGUUCAGGUUUGGGUUUUGAGCAUUUGGGGGUAGGUUGUUGACUUCUGGCUCCGAGUCAGAACUAUCAGAAAAACCCUCAGCAUGGUGAUCAUCCAAAGGAAUUGGGUGAUCAUCUUCUGGUUCUGCCUCUAGCCAACCAGCAUUGCCUUGGUUUGGGAAGUACGGAUCGCCAUGGUGAAAUCCAGCCAUUUUAAUCUACGCGAGAAAAGGGAUAUAAGAAAUAGCUAAAAUAGACGAACUAACUAAGAUAAUUACAGUAAGAUCAAAUACCCAUAUGGUAUUUCUUUAUGGUUGUGUUGGUAAGUUUUUAGACUUGUUGCCAUAUCACAACCAUUCUUGGGCAUAUGCUAAUCACUCCUCGGACCAGCAUAGUUGAUCAGGCUAUGCCAUUCCCAAGACUGACCAUAUAUCCCCAGGCUUACUUGUGAUAUUCAACAAUCGUAAUACUUUUGUUCUUGUCAUUGUGACACUGAUUUUAGUAUGAAUGCAGGCACGUAUACUUACUUAAAUAUUUUAUUAUUUAAAAGUAUAACUCUUAGACAGAGUGUUUUAAUCCCAAUGUAUUUAUAGUUAGUAUAUCUUUUAUGGGUUGAUAUACUAUAUUCACUAUAAACAAUGCUCUGAUACCAAUCUGUCACACCCCAAAACCACGAACGGCGGAAACGUUCAGGGGUGGAGGACGUCAUGUACAGUAUCACAACAGUGUAAUAUAAUAAACAAGCAACAACAUCAUCCAUUGCAUUAUAAGUAAAGUUUUAAUACAUGUGUGCUUUUUCAUUGUAGUAUGACACCAAAAAUAUACAAGCAAAAUAAAAGACGAGACUUGUCUGCUCCGUCUUCUCAAAACCUGGCCACCGUACCUGUCUACUGAUGACCUGAGAAUACAAGUUAUUUUGAAAGAGAGUAUCAGCUUUAAAGCUGGUGAAUUCAUAAGUAUUUAAGUGUCAUUGUCUUGCUUACUAAAAGCUGUUUUAAAAGUCAUGUAAACCUUUAAAUGAAAAUGUUGAUGUAAGUAUGAAAAGCCCUAGAAAAUCCCUUAUUUUCUAUCAGUUUGAGAUGUAGUCUUCUACCAAGACCCGAAUGUUUUGUUAUGACAAUGUAGUCUUCUACCAAGACCCGAAUGUUUUGUUAUGACAAUGUAGUCUUCUACCAAGACCCGAAUGUUUUGUUAUGACAAUGUAGUCUUCUACCAAGACCCGAAUGUUUUGUUAUGACAAUGUAGUCUUCUACCAAGACCCGAAUGUUUUGUUAUGACAAUGUAGUCUUCUACCAAGACCCGAAUGUUUUGUUAUGACAAUGUAGUCUUCUACCAAGACCCGAAUGUUUUGUAAGUAAAAUGAUAGUUUUUCCUUUCUAUUGACUAGUACUAAAAGUACUUAGUCUAACUCAUCGUUUAUGUGAAUGUAUCACAAAAUAAAGUAAACAGGAAAAUGUACUACUGUAAGUGUUGUCACUGGGUACUAGGACUAACACAACAUCGCAUUAAGCGAAAUAUGUAACCUAAUGAACAUCCGAAGAUUGUCCAGAACAAGUAUUAAUGUAAGUGUCAUCGCUGGGUACUAGGAGUAACACAACAUCGCAAUAAGCGAAAGGUAUAACCUUAUGAACAAUCGAAGAUUGUCCACUUGUCCUCUGUAGCAGCAGCAGGUGGGUGGAGGGGUUAGCCCCGGUUAUCGAUCUACCUAGUAUAAGUAGUAACCUUAGACCUCCGUAGAUGGUCAUCGACCACUGGUGCUAAUCAGUGGGGUUCGGAAUGGUAAGUCCCGCCGAGAUAUCCCAUUGAACCGGGAUAGGAAAGAUAAUUUACACAGAAAGUACUAAUAAAUCAUCCUCGUAGUUCUAAGUACAAGUAUCCAGGUAAGUGAAUACAGGAUAAUGCACCUAUGUAAAAGUGUUCCUGUAUGGUAUUCAUGUAAGUGUGUUCAUGUAACAGGUAAGUAUAUGUAAACAUAUUCAUGUAUCAUGUAAUCCUAAGUAAGUGUACUCAUGUAUCAUGUAAGGUAUUGGUAUAGACUCAUGAAUGAACUGACUCUUGUGUGAUUCCUUGUAAUAGGAAUAAUGUUUGAUAUCUUCUAAUUAUCCCUAUGAUAAUUUACUGAAAGGUAAUUAGUUGUUCAAGUAGGUUUAUACACUCUUACUACUCAAGGGUGUGAGAAACUAAAUGAAAGAUGUAAACUAUAACAUCAAUACAUAUAUAAGAAUAUAAGUGUAUAUGCAUAGUUUAGUUCAAGAAUGUAAAAUGGUUUUGUAAGACAUCUUAUGGGUUUUGAACAAUAAUUAACAAUGACUUGAUGUCAUUUUAAUAAACAUUUCAAAGGUAAAACAUUUGGUAACAAUGUGUUUUUAAGAUGUAAAACCAUUUCAUGCAUCACAUUUUGUAGUAUGUGAAAUCUGUUAAAUGACAAACACAGUUAUAAAAUACAUAUCAAUGAUUUAAUAACAUGUUUGUUUCUACUUGUAUUCCCCCCUUUUAAGCAUUUAAAAUCAUUUAAAACAUUGAUUAGGGGUAUGAACUCACCUGUAGUUGGUGAUUGGGAUGAACUGAACGGUAUAGGAUUGCUAGGUGUCAAGCGAGGACUUGUACACACACU
rnacentral:lncRNA from 1 species